ensembl:lncRNA
CCCCAGGAAACGAAUGCAACGACUGAACCAGCCCAUCCCCGACCAACGGCUCAAUAGCUGUGGUUCAGGACACCUGACACCUGGCGGGCACAUCUCCAAGCCCCGGCCCAUUGCAACCCAUCCCUGGGGACACCUGGAGCCGGGAGCACACAGAAGGGCUCGCCUGGUCUCAAGGAUCAGGGGAGACCCCCCUGAGCUUGAGCGCACUUCAGCGUAGGCUGGGAGGAGAGGGCAAGGAACGGUGCCCAACAAGGAGCAAGCGAGUACAGACGCCAGGAGGCAAGAGAAAGCUCAGUCAUCUGAGGAACUGAAAUGACUCAGUGUGGCCUGACUUUGAGGGAGAAACGGUAGAAGCCCUGUGAUGCGGGUUCUGUGAGGUGUAAGUGUAUCUGCAACAGUCGGAACAGUGUCUGGCAGAGGAAGGAUCGGUAAGUCUGCCAUUGACGCCUACCCCUAUCAACAGCAAGGCGGCUGAUUUCUCUUUUAUUGGGAAAGAGCGCUGCGCGAAGGUUUUCUGGAUACUGAUGGUGAUGAUGAUGACAGCUACCGCUUCCUGAUCACCUGCUGUGUUCAGCCCUCAUUACCUACCCGAUUUUGUAAAUGUGAGGUGGGUAUUACUGUUAUUCCUGCAUAACUCAGAUUUGAACCUGGGUCUGAGCCUAGAGGCUUCCCAGGUGGCUCAGUGGUAAAGAAUCUGCCUGCCAAUGCAGGAAACUCGGAUCUGAUCCAGGAGUGGGGAAGAUGCCCUGGAGAAGGAAGUGGCAACCCACUCCAGUAUUCUUGCCUGUAAAAUCUCGAGGACAGAGGAGCCUGGUGGGCUCCUGUCCGUGGGGUCGCAAAGAGCUGGAACACGACUGAGUGACUGGGCACUGAGUCCAGAAUC